UGCAGUCGAACGGCAGCGCGGGGCAACCUGGCGGCGAGUGGCGAACGGGUGAGUAAUAUAUCGGAACGUACCCAAGAGUGGGGGAUAACGUAGCGAAAGUUACGCUAAUACCGCAUACGAUCUAAGGAUGAAAGUGGGGGAUCUUCAGACCUCAUGCUCCUGGAGCGGCCGAUAUCUGAUUAGCUAGUUGGUGAGGUAAAGGCUCACCAAGGCGACGAUCAGUAGCUGGUCUGAGAGGACGACCAGCCACACUGGAACUGAGACACGGUCCAGACUCCUACGGGAGGCAGCAGUGGGGAAUUUUGGACAAUGGGCGCAAGCCUGAUCCAGCAAUGCCGCGUGAGUGAAGAAGGCCUUCGGGUUGUAAAGCUCUUUUGUCAGGGAAGAAACGGUGGAAGCUAAUAUCCUCUACUAAUGACGGUACCUGAAGAAUAAGCACCGGCUAACUACGUGCCAGCAGCCGCGGUAAUACGUAGGGUGCAAGCGUUAAUCGGAAUUACUGGGCGUAAAGCGUGCGCAGGCGGUUUUGUAAGUCUGACGUGAAAUCCCCGGGCUCAACCUGGGAAUUGCGUUGGAGACUGCAAGGCUAGAAUCUGGCAGAGGGGGGUAGAAUUCCACGUGUAGCAGUGAAAUGCGUAGAGAUGUGGAGGAACACCGAUGGCGAAGGCAGCCCCCUGGGUCAAGAUUGACGCUCAUGCACGAAAGCGUGGGGAGCAAACAGGAUUAGAUACCCUGGUAGUCCACGCCCUAAACGAUGUCUACUAGUUGUCGGGUCUUAAUUGACUUGGUAACGCAGCUAACGCGUGAAGUAGACCGCCUGGGGAGUACGGUCGCAAGAUUAAACUCAAAGGAAUUGACGGGGACCCGCACAGCGGUGGAUGAUGUGGAUUAAUUCGAUGCAACGCGAAAAACCUUACCUACCCUUGACAUGUCAGGAAUCCUGGAAAAAUCCGGGGGUGCCCGAAAGGGAACCUGAACACAAGUGCUGCAUGGCUGUCUUCACCCCUGUCCU
rnacentral:rRNA from 1 species